rnacentral:misc_RNA from 1 species
GAAAUGCGAUAAGUAAUGUGAAUUGCAGAAUUCCGUGAAUCAUCGAAUCUUUGAACGCACAUUGCGCCCUCUGGUAUUCCGGGGGGCAUGCCUGUUCGAGCGUCAUUGCAAACCCCUCAAGCACAGCUUGUGUGUUGGGCCAUCGUCCCUCUGUGGACGGGCCUGAAAUGCAGUGGCAGCACCGAGUCCUGGUGUCUGAGUGUAUGGGAUUUUCUAUCACUCAAAGACCCAAUCGGCGCUGAUGUCAGAUUUUUAUCCAGUUUGACCUCGGAUCAGGUAGGAGUACCCGCUGAACUUAA